rnacentral:lncRNA from 1 species
GUUAAUGUAGUUGAAUUAAUGUCGUAUAUCGAUUUUUGUGUGUUGCAUUGGUGUUCUUCAUUGUUCUUGAAAUGACUGACCUUGGAGAGGGUAAAAGUGUUUUGAGAUGAUAUGGAUGAUUGACUGCCAAAUGUACUUUGUAUUCUCUUAGUUGUGUUGAGUUGCUUGAGGACAAACAAUUAUUUUAAGUUGAGGGUGUAGAUGUGUGAGCUAAUGCUAACACAUUU